rnacentral:rRNA from 1 species
UGCCAGCCGCCGCGGUAAGACGGGAGAUGCAAGCGUUAUUCGGAUUUAUUGGGCGUAAAGCGUACGUAGGCGGACUGAUCAGUCAGAGGUGAAAUCCCAGGGCUCAACCCUGGAACUGCCUUUGAUACUGUCAGUCUUGAGUUCGAGAGAGGUGAGUGGAAUUCCAAGUGUAGAGGUGAAAUUCGUAGAUAUUUGGAGGAACACCAGUGGCGAAGGCGGCCUCCUGGCUCGACACUGACACUGAGGCGCGAAAGUGUGGGGAGCAAACAGGAUUAGAUA